AAGAGAGGCCAGUUAGCACCGAAGACUGCUAAUCUUCGCUCCCCCGGUUAGACUCCGGGGCUCACUUG
rnacentral:tRNA from 1 species